UGGGGAAUCUUGCACAAUGGGGGCAACCCUGAUGCAGCGACGCCGCGUGAGCGAUGAAGCCCUUCGGGGUGUAAAGCUCUUUCGGCCGGAACGAUGAUGACGGUACCGGCAGAAGAAGCUGCGGCUAACUACGUGCCAGCAGCCGCGGUAAUACGUAGGCAGCGAGCGUUGUUCGGAGUUACUGGGCGUAAAGAGUGCGUAGGCGGUGCUCUAAGUUUGGUGUGAAAUCUCCCGGCUCAACUGGGAGGGUGCGCCGGAAACUGGAAUGCUAGAGGAGGGGAGAGGUAAGCGGAAUCCCUGGUGUAGCGGUGAAAUGCGUAGAUAUCAGGAGGAACACCUGUGGUGUAGACAGCUUACUGGACCAUUUCUGACGCUGAGACACGAAAGCGUGGGUAGCAAACAG
rnacentral:rRNA from 1 species